UGGGGAAUAUUGGACAAUGGGCGCAAGCCUGAUCCAGCCAUGCCGCGUGUGUGAAGAAGGCCUUUUGGUUGUAAAGCACUUUAAGCGAGGAGGAGGCUACUUGGAUUAAUACUCUAGGAUAGUGGACGUUACUCGCAGAAUAAGCACCGGCUAACUCUGUGCCAGCAGCCGCGGUAAUACAGAGGGUGCGAGCGUUAAUCGGAUUUACUGGGCGUAAAGCGUGCGUAGGCGGCUACUUAAGUCGGAUGUGAAAUCCCUGAGCUUAACUUAGGAAUUGCAUUCGAUACUGGGAAGCUAGAGUAUGGGAGAGGAUGGUAGAAUUCCAGGUGUAGCGGUGAAAUGCGUAGAGAUCUGGAGGAAUACCGAUGGCGAAGGCAGCCAUCUGGCCUAAUACUGACGCUGAGGUACGAAAGCAUGGGGAGCAAACAGG
rnacentral:rRNA from 1 species